AACGAACGCUGGCGGCAGGCCUAACACAUGCAAGUCGAACGCUGUAGCAAUACAGAGUGGCAGACGGGUGAGUAACGCGUGGGAACCUUCCCAAUGGUGCGGAAUAGCUCAGGGAAACUUGAGGUAAUACCGCAUAAGCCCUUAGGGGGAAAGAUUUAUCGCCAUUGGAUGGGCCCGCGUCGGAUUAGCUAGUUGGUGAGGUAAUGGCUCACCAAGGCAACGAUCCGUAGCUGGUUUGAGAGAAUGACCAGCCACACUGGGACCGAGACACGGCCCAGACUCCUACGGGAGGCAGCAGUGGGGAAUCUUGGACAAUGGGCGCAAGCCUGAUCCAGCCAUGCCGCGUGAGUGACGAAGGCCUUAGGGUUGUAAAGCUCUUUUGCCGGGGACGAUAAUGACGGUACCCGGAGAAUAAGUCCCGGCUAACUUCGUGCCAGCCGCCGCAGUAACAC
rnacentral:rRNA from 1 species